AGAGUUUGAUCCUGGCUCAGAUUGAACGCUGGCGGCAUGCCUAACACAUGCAAGUCGAACGGAAACGAUGGGAGCUUGCUCCCAGGCGUCGAGUGGCGGACGGGUGAGUAAUACUUAGGAAUCUACCCAGUAGCGGGGGACAACUCGAGGAAACUCGAGCUAAUACCGCAUACGCCCUACGGGGGAAAGCAGGGGAUCUUCGGACCUUGCACUAUUGGAUGAGCCUAAGUCGGAUUAGCUUGUUGGUGAGGUAAAGGCUCACCAAGGCGACGAUCCGUAGCUGGUCUGAGAGGACGAUCAGCCACACUGGGACUGAGACACGGCCCAGACUCCUACGGGAGGCAGCAGUGGGGAAUAUUGGACAAUGGGGGCAACCCUGAUCCAGCAAUGCCGCGUGUGUGAAGAAGGCCUGCGGGUUGUAAAGCACUUUCAGUAGAGAAGAAAAGCUUACGGUUAAUACCCGUGGGUCUUGACGUUACCUACAGAAGAAGCUCCGGCUAACUCCGUGCCAGCAGCCGCGGUAAUACGGAGGGAGCGAGCGUUAAUCGGAAUUACUGGGCGUAAAGCGCGCGUAGGCGGCUUUGUAAGUCGGAUGUGAAAGCCCUGGGCUCAACCUGGGAAUGGCAUUCGAUACUGCAGAGCUAGAGUAUGGUAGAGGGAAGUGGAAUUUCCGGUGUAGCGGUGAAAUGCGUAGAUAUCGGAAGGAACACCAGUGGCGAAGGCGACUUCCUGGGCCAAUACUGACGCUAAGGUGCGAAAGCGUGGGGAGCAAACAGGAUUAGAUACCCUGGUAGUCCACGCCGUAAACGAUGAGAACUAGAUGUCGGGAGAAACUGUCUUUCGGUGUCGC
rnacentral:rRNA from 1 species